rnacentral:rRNA from 1 species
CACGUAGGGCGCAAGCGUUGUCCGGAAUUAUUGGGCGUAAAGAGCUCGUAGGCGGACUGUCACGUCCGCUGUGAAAACUCGAGGCUCAACCUCGAGACGUCGGUUGAAACCGUCUGGCUAGAGUCCGGAAGAGGAGAGUGGAAUUCCCGGUGUAGCGGUGAAAUGCGCAGAUAUCGGGAAGAACACCCGUGGCGAAGGCGGCUCUCUGGGACGGUACUGACGCUGAGACGCGAAAGCGUGGGGAGCGAACAGG